rnacentral:rRNA from 1 species
GUCCCGGUUUAAGCGUGUAGGCUGGUUUUCCAGGCAAAUCCGGAAAAUCAAGGCUGAGGCGUGAUGACGAGGCACUACGGUGCUGAAGCAACAAAUGCCCUGCUUCCAGGAAAAGCCUCUAAGCAUCAGGUAACAUCAAAUCGUACCCCAAACCGACACAGGUGGUCAGGUAGAGAAUACCAAGGCGCUUGAGAGAACUCGGGUGAAGGAACUAGGCAAAAUGGUGCCGUAACUUCGGGAGAAGGCACGCUGAUAUGUAGGUGAAGCGACUUGCUCGUGGAGCUGAAAUCAGUCGAAGAUACCAGCUGGCUGCAACUGUUUAUUAAAAACACAGCACUGUGCAAACACGAAAGUGGACGUAUACGGUGUGACGCCUGCCCGGUGCCGGAAGGUUAAUUGAUGGGGUCAGCGCAAGCGAAGCUCUUGAUCGAAGCCCCGGUAAACGGCGGCCGUAACUAUAACGGUCCUAAGGUAGCGAAAUUCCUUGUCGGGUAAGUUCCGACCUGCACGAAUGGCGUAAUGAUGGCCAGGCUGUCUCCACCCGAGACUCAGUGAAAUUGAACUCGCUGUGAAGAUGCAGUGUACCCGCGGCAAGACGGAAAGACCCCGUGAACCUUUACUAUAGCUUGACACUGAACAUUGAGCCUUGAUGUGUAGGAUAGGUGGGAGGCUUUGAAGUGUGGACGCCAGUCUGCAUGGAGCCGACCUUGAAAUACCACCCUUUAAUGUUUGAUGUUCUAACGUGGACCCGUGAUCCGGGUUGCGGACAGUGUCUGGUGGGUAGUUUGACUGGGGCGGUCUCCUCCUAAAGAGUAACGGAGGAGCACGAAGGUUGGCUAAUCCUGGUCGGACAUCAGGAGGUUAGUGCAAUGGCAUAAGCCAGCUUGACUGCGAGCGUGACGGCGCGAGCAGGUGCGAAAGCAGGUCAUAGUGAUCCGGUGGUUCUGAAUGGAAGGGCCAUCGCUCAACGGAUAAAAGGUACUCCGGGGAUAACAGGCUGAUACCGCCCAAGAGUUCAUAUCGACGGCGGUGUUUGGCACCUCGAUGUCGGCUCAUCACAUCCUGGGGCUGAAGUAGGUCCCAAGGGUAUGGCUGUUCGCCAUUUAAAGUGGUACGCGAGCUGGGUUUAGAACGUCGUGAGACAGUUCGGUCCCUAUCUGCCGUGGGCGCUGGAGAACUGAGGGGGGCUGCUCCUAGUACGAGAGGACCGGAGUGGACGCAUCACUGGUGUUCGGGUUGUCAUGCCAAUGGCACUGCCCGGUAGCUAAAUGCGGAAGAGAUAAGUGCUGAAAGCAUCUAAGCACGAAACUUGCCCCGAGAUGAGUUCUCCCUGACUCCUUGAGAGUCCUGAAGGAACGUUGAAGACGACGACGUUGAUAGGCCGGGUGUGUAAGCGCAGCGAUGCGUUGAGCUAACCGGUACUAAUGAACCGUGAGGCUUAACCUUACAACGCCGAAGGUGUUU